AUUGAACGCUGGCGGCAUGCUUUACACAUGCAAGUCGAACGGCAGCGCGGGCUUUGGCCUGGCGGCGAGUGGCGAACGGGUGAGUAAUGCAUAGGAACGUGCCCAGUAGUGGGGGAUAGCGCGGCGAAAGCCGGAUUAAUACCGCAUACGACCUGAGGGUGAAAGCGGGGGACCGUAAGGCCUCGCGCUAUCAGAGCGGCCGAGGUCGGAUUAGCUAGUUGGUGGGGUAAAGGCCUACCAAGGCGACGAUCCGUAGCUGGUCUGAGAGGACGAUCAGCCACACUGGGACUGAGACACGGCCCAGACUCCUACGGGAGGCAGCAGUGGGGAAUUUUGGACAAUGGGGGCAACCCUGAUCCAGCCAUGCCGCGUGCGUGAAGAAGGUCUUCGGAUUGUAAACCACUUUUAUUCGGGAAGAAAUGCACUGAGCUAAUACCCCGGUGGUAUGACGUUACCAAAAGAAUAAGCACCGGCUAACUACGUG
rnacentral:rRNA from 1 species